GAUGAACGCUGGCGGCGUGCCUAAUACAUGCAAGUCGAGCGAACAGACGAGGAGCUUGCUCCUCUGACGUUAGCGGCGGACGGGUGAGUAACACGUGUAUAACCUACCUAUAAGACUGGGAUAACUUCGGGAAACCGGCGCUAAUACCGGAUAAUAUAUUGCACCGCAUGGUUCAAUAGUGAGAGACGGUUUUGCUGUCUCUUAUAGAUGGAUCCGCGCCGCAUUAGCUAGUUGGUAAGGUAACGGCUUAUCAAGGCGACGAUGCGUAGCCGACCUGAGAGAGUGAUCGGCCACACUGGAACUGAGACACGGUCCAGACUCCUACGGGAGGCAGCAGUAGGGAAUCUUCCGCAAUGGGCGAAAGCCUGACGGAGCAACGCCGCGUGAGUGAUGAAGGUCUUCGGAUCGUAAAACUCUGUUAUUAGGGAAGAACAAAUGUGUAAGUAACUAUGCACGUCUUGACGGUACCUAAUCAGAAAGCCACGGCUAACUACGUG
rnacentral:rRNA from 1 species